AAAAAUGUUUUCCCCGACUGUACGGACAAAGGAGGAAACGGAGUAAACAGAGAGCUUCGCCGGAAUCAUAAGGGGGAAAAAUGGGGGUGAUUUUGAGCGCGUUUGAUGUAUGAGUAAGUGAUUUGAAUUUUAGACCUCAAUUUUUUAUUAUUGAUUCAACAUGUUUUGUAAGUGGUUCAGAUUAAUUUGUUAAGUUGUGGUAAAAUUUGGAUUAUACAUGAGAAAAAUCCAAUCUCCCUAGUGUUUGUUUUAGGCUCGUUUGUGCUUCACAUUAUGCGAUUAUCUCCUUAAUUAGGAGUUUGUGGAAAAGGAAUAGUGGAGAUGGAUUCAGAAAGUAAUUUAGUAAGUAAACGAGCUGAUUGGAUUCCAACCAAUGGAGAAAAAAAAACUGAAUAUGAUGAAAAUUGGAGAUAGAAAUAGUAGGUUUUUUUUUUUUUUUUAAAAUUUGGGACUAAGAUAAGAGUGGCAAUUGAACUCCAAUUAUAGAUUAGGAUAGAUUAUUGAAUAAUGAUUGCUAAAAAUGCUGUGAAAUAAAUCCAAGUGUAAAUGAGAUGAUUUGAUAUGCUAAGCACUAAAAUUAUUAAUUACAUUUAUAUCUGGACAGCUUUGCUAGAAUGCCUUGGGCUUUUGCUUGGUGAAAAAAGUGUAGAGAAGGGUAAGAACAGAAAAAGUGUUUAAUCCGAUGAAAGAAGUUAUGGGAUCUAACCAUUAGAUUCAAAGUUUUUGCAUCCAUACUCAGUUUCUAUCCUUCCUACCAAGCAAAGCUUUGAAGGUUGCAAUUGAGUCGUGUUAUUACUUACCAAGUGUUUAGAAUUCAGGAGGCAACACAAAUACCAAAAAAGAGCAGAAUCAUUCUUACCUUUCUACU
rnacentral:lncRNA from 1 species